GUGCAGCAGUCGCGAAAACUCCGCAAUACGCGAAAGCGUGACGGGGCCAUCCCGAGUGCCGUCCGCUUAGGAUGGCUUUUCCCUAGUGUAAAUAGCUGGGGGAGUAAGGAGAGGGCAAGUCGGGUGUCAGCCGCCGCGGUAAUACCAGCUCUUCGAGUGGUGGGGAUGUUUAUUGGGCCUGAAGCAUCCGUAGCCGGCCGGGCAAAUCCUCCGUUAAAUCCAGCGAUUCAAUCGUUGGAUUGCGAGGGAUACGGUGCGGCUAGGGGGGGGGAGAGGCCAACGGUAUUCCCGGGGUAGGGGUGAAAUCCUAUAAUCCCGGGAGGACCACCAGUGGCGAAGGCUGUUCGCUAGAACACGCCCGACGGUGAGGGAUGAAA
rnacentral:rRNA from 1 species